UUGAUAUCUAUGGUAGCUAUGCUAGUAUGGACUUGGGGAGCCAUAUAACCCAGAAUGCAUUUCGCGCCGACCAGCGGGAAAGGCGGAAGAGGAAGCUUUCAGAGACAAUGAAACGGAGAGGAGACACAGAGCACUUUUUCAUGAAGAGAAGUCAGUAGGACAGAGCAGGACAGACUGACAGCUCCAGAGAGGACCAGGGUCAGUCUGAAUGCAGCCAGGGACCAUCAUGUGUUGUUGAGCCAAACAUCCAGGACCAGAGCAGCAACCAUCAACCUCCAGAUGCACCAGUGGAGGAGCCGGAUACUUCUGACCCUGAUGACUGUUCAGAAUGGGAUGGCAGCAGCAGUAGCAGACACGUACCAAAUACUGGGCCUAUAUUUGCUAUACCUAAAGGUCCCCAAGAUAUUUCUCAGACAAGAGCUACAGGCCCAACACAGCCAGUCUUGACAACUUUCCCUCUCACACAAGGACGGAGUAGAUGGAGAGCCUUUAACAGCGGCUGGUACAAAGACUACACGUGGCUUGAGUAUUCUCAGUGCCAGGACACUGCACAUUGUUUUGCAUGCAGGCAUUUCUCACUCCCUUCUGCUCCUGAGACGACAUUUUCCUCGAGUGUUGGAUUUUCUAACUGGAAAAAAGCCAUGUACAAGGAUGGAGGGUUCCAGAUGCAUGCCAAAGCAGAACACCAUCUGAAUGCCAUGGUGGCAUGGACAGAGUAUAAAAGGGGUAAUGAAAAUAAUACAUCUUUACUUCAAGAGAUGGAUAAACAAUACAAAAAAAGGUGGAAGAAAAUAGAAAGUAUAUAAAGACAACUGCUGAUGUCCUGCUCUGCACAGCCACCCAAAACAUUGCACAGCGUGGCCACCGAGAGUCAGAAGGCUCCGGCAACAAAGGGAACACAAAAGUUUCCUGCAUUUUGAACAUGCUGAUAAGCUUGAUGCCACUGGGCUAACAGAAAAAAUUGUGAAUAGCCUCCAAAAAUAUGGAUUGGAAUGGAAAGAAGAGCUGGUUGGGCGAGGUUACGAUGGGGCCUCUGAUGAGCGGUAGACCAACGGUGUAUCUGCACGGAUACAGUCUCAGGCUCAGCAAGCUUUUUAUGUGCACUGUAAUGCACAUUGUCUCAGUUUGGUGAUUGUGGACACUGUGAAAGCAGUGCUGGAGGCAUCAUGCUUUUUUUCUUUGAUUCGACAGCAGGCCGGAUUUGGCCCGUGGACCUGACUUUGGACAUGCCUGCUUUAACAGCUCAGUUUGGAGAAAAGAUUGAACCUCUCUAAACACCAAAGGAAUUCCCUGAAGGAUUUAUUUUGUAAAGCUAUGAGUUGGCCUAAUCAGCACUUUACACCUGCAUUUGGACUUUUUUUAGUUUUAAAAUGUAGUUUCAUUGUAACUGUGUAUAUGCCACUAUUCCAAGGUGUAUUUACUAUAAUGAUUUCUUUUGUAAUAAAGGAAAAACAAGGCAGAAAGUAUCAUAAUGCUUCAAUGUAGUCAGAUAUAAAACAAAAAAAAAAAAAUCAAAUGUAGCGUUUUGGCAUCAAAUUAUGGAACUCUUCUAAACAGUCUUGGAGAUGUUACCUAUUAAAUGUGAGCUUUAGAGACUGUGUUGUAUAGCUAAUAUAUAAUUUAUAAAUUACGUCUAAUUAAUAAAUAUAAUUCAUAAACUGCACUGGUUUCUCAGAGCCAUUUUGAACUUAAAAAGCAUGUCCAUGGUGAGGAACCCUAAAAGUUUCCUUGAAGUUCUACUGUUAAAGGUGGACCAGAAUAAAAUGCAGUGAAGUCUGGAGGAGAUAAAAGCAUGCCGACCUUUUCUAAGUCCGCAGCAGAGAGCAAUGAACUCAUCUUGUUCCGCUGUCCCAGCUGGUGAAAGCUGGACUGAACCGCUUUAGUCACUGAGGCAUCAAAAGACUACUCAGAGUAAAAAAUAACACAGAUUACAUUCUUCUUUUAUGAAGACUACUUAGUAAAGGACUUAGAUUCCAAGAGGGAUCAUCAUCAGUGCUUCUGCCUUGUUUAUUAAUGAACUAUUAAGGGCUGAUUAUAGCACCAGUAAGCAUGAAGUCACAGCAGAUUUUGAGCUUUUAUGUCUUCAAGGAAAGUAACAUGAGGUUCUCCAAAAAAAAAAUCACAUUACAAAGCAGUGCUUCUCCAUUAAUUUGGCUCAACAUGCUGCCUUAGUUGCCGUUUUCUGACUUCCUGCUGCUUUUCAAGGUGACCUUAGCAGUUGCUGAGGCAAUUUGCGGCCUUGAGUUUUGUCUCAGAGGCCCGAUGGCUCCAGUAUGACCAAAUCUGAGGUCCAGAGGGUGGAGAUAAGAGGUGGAGGAGGUCACGGUGGUGGGCUGAGGGUUCAGUUUCACAUGAUCGUCAGACUCUGUGUUAAGGAAGCACCGGCAGACACAGAAACCUUCUCUGACUCAGACAGGAAGACGAUCUCUGCUCCUUGCAUGUAUUUCCAGUGCUGGGACCAUGUGACUCAUGAACAGACCCUGAUUUACUCCAACACUCCCCCAACUCUCUCCUCUUACCCUCCUCUCCUCCCCCAGUCACACCCCUCUAUGGUUGGGUGGGUGUUGUCAGGCCGUCAGCCAAUGACAUGACGGCGUUCACCCUUUGAAACAAACCCUGAUAAAUCAGUGUGUGUCAGUGCAGAGAGCAAAACACAGAGGAGGAGGUGGUAGGGGGAAUGAAAUGAUUACAGAUAAACUAGAGGCAUGUUUGUAAGGAAACAUGGGUGUGAUGAUGAAGAAAAGACUGCGUAUGAAUAAUCCAAGGCACUUCCAAACCACCUUUCCAUGUGUUUAUUUAGAUUUAGGCAGUGAUUGCUAUGUAUCUGCUGUUGUUUUAUGGUAGAAAGUGUCUGAUGUACAGAAAAUAGUGGAAAAACCAGUGUUGCAUGUAACUGACCUCUGGUGCAAAAGUCACAGUGCAAAGUUCUUCAACUGCUUUCUGUUUUACAUGUCGGGUACAGAACAUUUUGUUGUUGUUUUUUGCUCGGUGCACAGAACACAAUCAACCUAAUGCUAUUCCAGCAGCACAGUAGCACACAAAAAAUCAUUAAAAAAGACAAGAAAAACAGAGAAACAAGUAGUAAAAACAACAUGAAAAUGAUAAAUAGUACCACACUAUGCUAAUAUAAGUUUGCUGCUCUUGCUUUUGUGUUAGCUGAUGGAAAAACACAAAAUGAAGUCUUUUUUCUCCAAUUUUCUUUGUCCAAACUGCACAAAAACUAAACAGAGAAAAGUACAUUCUCUGAGGGGUUCUGCCUUCAUUACAGUCAAGUUUAAGUGACCAGAAUUUUGCUUAUGCUCAAAGCUGCCAAAAAGAAGUCUUUUGUUAGAGGAUCCACAGGCAGCACUGUCAACAGCUUUCACUACUUAAUGCCAAGAAAAUGGAACCCAUGAGAGUUUGUUCAGUGUGUUCUUUGGAUUAUCUGGAGUGGAGUUGGAUGGCAGCAGAAAAAUCACAAAACUUAAUGCUUCUACUCAUAAAUUCAUUGAAUUUGUUGUUUUUCUCUGUAGUUGCUUUUAAUGUUUAAGUGUUUGAUGCUUUUAUACCUUUUAUUUGUUUGUUUUUAUUAUUUGCCUUUUACCUAUAAAGUGUGUUUGAGUGCCCAGAAAAGCGCUAUACAAAUAAAAUGCAUUAUUAUUA